UAGGGAAUCUUCCACAAUGGACGCAAGCUGAUGGAGCAACGCCGCGUGAGUGAAGAAGGUCUUCGGAUCGUAAAACUCUGUUGUUAGAGAAGAACACGAGUGAGAGUAACUGUUCAUUCGAUGACGGUAUCUAACCAGCAAGUCACGGCUAACUACGUGCCAG
rnacentral:rRNA from 1 species